rnacentral:rRNA from 1 species
CUACGGGCCGCUGCAGUGGGGAAUAUUGGGCAAUGGGCGCAAGCCUGACCCAGCAACGCCGCGUGAGGGAAGAAGGUUUUCGGAUUGUAAACCUCUGUCCUUGGGGACGAAUAAAAUGACGGUACCCAAGGAGGAAGCUCCGACUAACUACGUGCGCAGCAGCCGCGGUAAUACGUAGGGAGCAAGCGUUGUCCGGAAUUACUGGGCGUAAAGGGUGCGUAGGCGGCAUAUUAAGUCAGGUGUGAAAUUUUCGGGCUCAACCCGAAACCUGCAUCUGAAACUGAUAAGCUUGAGUAUGAGAGAGGAAAGUGGAAUUCCUAGUGUAGCGGUGAAAUGCGUAGAUAUUAGGAGGAACACCAGUGGCGAAGGCGACUUUCUGGCUCAUCACUGACGCUGAGGCACGAAAGCGUGGGUAGCAAACAGGAUUAGAUACCCGAGUAGUC